GAUGAACGCUGGCGGCGUGCCUAAUACAUGCAAGUCGAGCGAACGGACGAUAAGCUUGCUUCUCUGAUGUUAGCGGCGGACGGGUGAGUAACACGUGGAUAACCUACUUAUAUGACUGGGAUAACUUCGGGAAACCGGAGCUAAUACCGGAUAAUAUUUUGAACCGCAUGGUUCAAAAGUGAAAGACGGUCUUGCUGUCACUUAUAGAUGGAUCCGCGCUGCAUUAGCUAGUUGGUAAGGUAACGGCUUACCAAGGCAACGAUGCGUAGCCGACCUGAGAGGGUGAUCGGCCACACUGGAACUGAGACACGGUCCAGACUCCUACGGGAGGCAGCAGUAGGGAAUCUUGCGCAAUGGGCGCAAGCCUGACGGAGCAACGCCGCGUGAGUGAUGAAGGUCUUCGGGUCGUAAAACUCUGUUAUUAGGGAAGAACAGAUGUGUAAGUAACUGUGCACAUCUUGACGGUACCUAAUCAGAAAGCCACGGCUAACUACGUG
rnacentral:rRNA from 1 species